UUGGAAGGGGGGCAAGGGGCGCAAGCAGGGCAUCCUGCCAUGUACCCUUUGCCCUUAUUUUGUUUUUCUGCCAUGCCAGCACUCUGGCACCUUCCGAGGCAGGCAUUGUGGUGUUUUUUGGCACUCUGGCCAAAAUACAUUGCCUACCUCUGCUCUAGUUAAAGAUAUUCCCUAGGUUUAUUUUACUCUCACAAUAUACCACAACGAAUGCUGUUACAUUUAUGUGACAUAAUGCAUUUAAGACACAUAAUGAGUUAAUAUGUUAUUACUGGUAAAUGCUAGGGGGCACCUCAUAACAAUUUUACCCUUCUGACCUCCUAGUACUAAAUUACAUCGGGGGUAGUUUAAGAACGUAUUUCAUGAUUGGUUUUAUUUUUUGUGUGGCUUUCAGUUACACUCCUCCCCACUCCCCCCAAAUUUCUUCCAUUCAACCAGUUAUUCAUUGCUGGAUGCUCUCUCUUGGUGUUCUUCCUGACAUAUCUACAUAGUAUCCACUUUUUCCCCCUCCCAUCACUGGGGGGAUGCUUGGGGUUUUCAGUGGAGCCCCUAAUUCAAAGACUGGAAGAAAUUGUUACCUGCUGAGCAAAGCCUCUUUGGAUGCUUUCAGCCAUCACCCUAGCCAGAGAAAGCUGGAGUGCGUGCUAGGGGGACCUCGUGGCACUAAGGUGGGCUGCUCUUUUGGGGAAACACUCUCCCUGCACUGGCCACUAAUCUGAGCUGUUGGGGGUAGGCACUGCAGUCCCCUAAUUCAAAGACCCAAAGGAAUUGUUGCCUGCUAGGUGAACCAUCUUUGGAUGCUUGCAGCCAACACCUUGGAAGCCCGGCUUCAUGUUUGGGGGACCUUGGUAACUAGGGGCACUGUUUUUGGGAAAUGUGAAAGGCUACCUUGGCCAGCCCUCACCUCCAGCUUCAAGUGGACCUCAGGUGGCCAGCAUAAGCCAUAUGGGGAGGGAGGAGGAGAGGUGGACUUGGGGUGAGACAUGGGUUUUUUUUGGUUUGGAGUUCCAUAAACUGUCUCCCCGUGCACACCACUAAUCAGAACCCCGCACAAGGGCAGCUUUUCUGCUGGUCAGUGAAGCAUUUUUGAGUGCUUUCCCCGAAAAAAUGUACUUGCAAGGUUAAUGUUGGGGAAAACCAGUAAGGGGCUUUUACUUUUUCUAAAUUUGCUUUUCCAUGCAGCAUCAUUCAUCAUUUCAUAAAACAACUUCACGCAUGCUUGCAAUUCUGCCUCAGGCAGCACAAUUGGAAACUAUGCAAACACAGCUUAUCUCUUUUUAGCGGGCAUUGAUCACCAGCCUACCCAUACCCCACAUGCCCCCACCCCUGGCAUACCUGCUUUUUCUCUCCUCCCAUCACCGGGGGGACUCUUGUGGUUUCCAGGGGAGCCCCAAAUUUGAAUACCAAAAGGAAUUGUUGCCUGCUGGGCAAAGCAUCUUUGGACGCUUGCAGCCAUCACCCUGACCAGAGAAAUCCUGGGUGCAUGCUAGGGGGACCUCAGGGCACAAAGGUGGGGUGCUCUUUGGAAAACACUCUCCCUGCACUGGCCACCAAUCAGAACCUCGCAAAAGCACAAUUUUUCUGUCAGUCAGCAAAGCAUCGUUGGCUCAGUCACAGGCAUUGUUUUAUCCAGGGGUGAUUACUGCCUCCUGGCUCUGGGGGACCACCAGUGGUUGAUCUCCAGGGUGGGGUCCACCAGCGGCUGAUCACUGAUGAGGGUGGCGGCCCCAGGGGCCAAUCGCCAACCGGAAGUGCUGGCAGCGCUUCUUUGGGUGUCCCAAUGAUCGGGGGGGGGGGGAGGGCACCAGCCAGAGGCUUCUUUUAGCACUCCCUCCCCGGCGGGCAAGGGCCAAUUUGGGGAAGGGGGGGGGGAGCACAUGCCCACCCCCAUGCCCCAUCUACAAGUCUCUUAUGAUCUUAUCAGCUUACCCUAUUUACAUGUCAAUUCCUGUUUCCUGCAUCUCCAGUUACUGCGAUCCAGGAGUGCCUAGAGUUUGUAGGUGCACCUCAUAUUACAGCAUUAACCCCCCUGUUUUAAAACUUUUUUUCUUUCUAUUUUACCCUUUGGGUCUUUCUUGCCUCACCUCCCCACCUUUUUGACAGCGCUGGCCCUGCAUGGCCAUGCAUGCUUUGCCAAUCCUCAGCACCGCCCAGGGCUACCCAAGGGUUGUCGCACCCCAGGGGCUUCAUGCCUCGUCUGUCAUCCCUGCUUGGGUGCUAGUUUCACAGUGUUCCUAAUGCUCCCCCAUUCAGUUCCUGAAGUGGCAUAAGAGCCACCCUUAACACUGAGCCCCAAGGAGUCUUUUUCUACUCCUUCCCCCACUCCCCUCUACCAUGCUGUUGCUGCUUCUGGUUUCCCAGUAAUGGUUAAAGGACUUACCUUUCCUCUUGUUUCAAAAAUAAAUUGUAAUUGCUGAUAGUAUACAAGUAUAAACCUAAGAAAAGGAGAAAGAUUCUUCAUUUACUUAAGUAAUCUUUAAUGAUUUAUUUACUAUAAUGUAAUCUUUAAUGAUUUUUUUUUCCCUUUGUGUUUAUACUUAGUUGCUGUAGAGUAGUUUGGCAACUCUUUGAAAGAUUAAACCUAUAUUUCAGCUAGAAGCUUAUGUAAGUUCUGUGUUAAAACCAUGCUGAGGUUAGGAUGUUCUGUUUGGAUUAAUAUGAAAGUUACAGGCAAAAUAGGGAAAGUCUGGAACAUGCAGUGAAAUGGGCACUUGGGAGAGGGGAGGGGAGAAAAUCCCUACAUGCACCAAGUGUUAGGGCUUUUGGCAGAAAGUUGUGAAGCAAAGAAAAAGACCUUUUGAGCAUGUGGCCCCAUGAUGCUGUUGGCUACAAAUGUCCAACUCGGGAUCCUUAAAAUUCUGGUUUAUUAGGCGGAUUGAAGCACUGUAAUGAAGUUAAAUCAUAAACCUUGGGGCUGGUCCCCCACGCGCACACACAGUAGUGAGCUACAAGAGUCAGGUAUACCUAUCCCACAGGCACUGGAGUCUGCCGUCGAGGCUUCUUUCAGCAUAGUGUUAUCCUCCAGAAGGGGGUCGCCAGCUGGUCCUUCUGGCUGGACAGUUGGGUGCUGGUCAAGUUGGAGCUCAAGAGGGCGCCACUGAGGGUCACUUUUCACUGCUUUUUUUCUAUUCUUGGCAGACUUUGGUGACUGCCCGGUUUUCAGGUUUGCCCAAUCCAGGGGUCAUUGACCCUCGUGGGACUUCCCCCUCGGUGGCUACUGGAUGGCAUCUGUCAGCCCCAGGAGUCGUCCGCAUGUACAUGCAGGUUUGGGAGUCCAUUAAUGAAUUUUGAAUAGGGCUCUGGGAGUGGUUGAUCUGGAGAUAUUCAUGCCCAAAAGUUGGUCCCUGGCAUUGAUUAACUCAGGCCAGGGCUUCUAGCCCUUGAACAGUGACUGUAGAGAUUUCCUGGUUGCUACAUUGUCUCCUAUUGAUUUCUUCCCUUGGUUGAUCUGCAGUUUCCCUAGGUGUUAAUUACUGCCUGCUACUGUGUUACACAUUCAAUCACUGAUUCACUCGCUCUUUCAGGGGCUCACCUGAUACUGGGAAACAGCAGUUUGACUACUGCCCUUGUUAACAUUGUUACAAUGUAUAACUUACUUCUGAAACUAAACACAUUUAGUUGAAAGGUGAGGAGUAUAAAAUAUAAGCUACAAAAGUAAUGCCAUGGCACACAAAUAGAUAAAAAUACCAAAAUACAAGGGGAGAUACUAAAUGCACACAUGCAAAUUUUAAAACACAAUUCCUCAUCUUAAAGUGAAAGAAAGAGGAAGGAAGAAAAGGUAGAAGAGGAAAAAGAUAUCCAAGGAGGGGAGAGCAACUGCAGGCAGGAAGAAAAGGGGGCUGUCUGCUACAAUGCAAUGGUAGCAUGUCUGACUCCAGAUCAGAAGGUUGUGUGUUCAAAUCACACUGGGGUCAACUGCACCCUUCUGAGUAGAUUCUGUCCCUGGGAGAUCCUCACCAUGCGUGGUGGCUUUGCUGUUGUUUGUAAGGAGGCCUUCUUAUUUUUUAACCAAAAAUGCCCAUAAUGAAAAACACCAUACCUCGAAGUCUGCAUAGAUAGAAAAGCUGUCUGGUGUGAUGGAGUAGGCUAGGAAACUUUAUUUUUUUCUGUUGCAGAGUAGAGAGGGGCAUUUCAGGCUCCCUGUACUGGGUCAGCCAAGUAGCAAAAAUCACUUCAGCAUGUUCUCCUGCUCAAAGGGUCCUUCUUUGUGGUCAGUGAGUCUUUCCAGUGUGACACAUUGCAGGGCAAAGAGGAGUAUGAUUGAGAUCUUCCAAGAAACACUGAAGCAAGGGGGUAUUUUGGUGAGUGGGUGCGCUUGGGUGUUUGCACCCCAUUUUGGUUCCUGCUCCAUGCAAAGUUUAAAACCAACUGCCUGUUUCAGGCAGUGGCAUUUCAGCUGAGGCAGAAGUAAGGGAAUCAAUUGAUUUCAUGGGUCACUUAAGACUUCUUUUUCCUUGUAAAAUCUUCAUUCUAUACACUGCAAAGAGGAAAGCAUCCUGGUUGAGAUGUGAUGGAGAAGAGAGACAGUGACCCUUUUCUUCUGACAGUGUGGUACCAUGAUAGCUUAUCUGGCUUCCAUUCAGCAUGUUGUGUCACCAGGGUCUGGCUCCUUUUUUAUCUGGGUGAGUUUUGGGUCCCUCUGAAAGACUGCCCACACAGGGAAGAAUGUUGGUGGUGGAACAAGGGAUACAUCGAUGGGUAGGUCAAAAGAGAAAUGGGCAUGGUGAACUGGAGUAGACCAGAGUGCUUUGUUUACUCCUUGAUGGGUGGGGAGGGUCACUUCAGAUUCUCUGUGCCAAGAUGGCUAGAUGAGAAAGAUCACCACUACUUGGACUUCUGCCCAAAAUGUGGCAAUGAUGGUGGCUGAGUUUGCUUAUUUUGGUUUAUUGAGCAGGAGUUCUUUCAGGAAAUGCUAGGGUGGGAUGCCCACCUAGAGCAAGAGGAAGGAUGGGGAGGAGGAGAUGAUGGGGGGCAGACAAAUGCUGUACCCAUGUAAUACAAUGGAAGCUGGUGUGAUUUCAUGUGAAAAAGUUGUGUAUUCAGAUCCCACCAGGGUCAUUACCUUGUUCUUCUUCCUUUGGGACCACUGGUUGCUAAGUCCUUCUACCCUGUGUGUGUGAGGUGAGUGCUGCUAGAGCCUCUACUCUUGGGUCAUUCACAUGCCCUUGCACUUUGCUUGUGCUGCACCACUUGUACUUAGUCCUUCCUUUUCCUGAACUGCCCCUUGACUCGUAAGGUGUCCUUCAAGGACCUGCUUUUGUGUUCUUCCUGUUGCUAACCUGAAAAAAGCUCCUUCUGUUGAAGCAGCUCUUCUAUGAAACCUGGUCGAUGAUUGUGGUCCAGGCAGUGAAGCAGAAGCACUCUGGCACCCCUGAAUUACAUGGAGAUGCUUGGAUCUCAUCAGGCCAGCAAGGAAUAUAAUAGAAUAUGCAGUCCUGAAGAAUGGGCCAACACGCAGCACUGGAACCUCAGAGGAAGAGAUGCAUGGCCCACUGGACUCUAUGGAUGUUUUGCUCUGAGGUGAGCAGGCCCAGUGUGGUGUACAGAAGCACUGGUAGCAACUGUGUCUUUGUGAACACCACACCCUACCAACCACACCCUACCCAUCUUCAAGUUGCGCAUAUUCCAUGGUCCCAAUUUCACUUUGACCUUGGUGUCAGUCUUCUCCCUUGCUUUCUGUCCAGUCAGCCCCAGGACAAACACCAUCUCAAGGAUCCUUACAUUCUCACAGGGGAUGGAGAACUCCAGGUCUUUGAUUUCUUCCAGUGCCAGGUGGGUACUCUUGCCCAUGAUAAUCUUGGUCCCUGCUGCUGCUCCCCCAACACUUGGGGGGUUGUUGCAGCAGAACCUCUGCCUUGGUAUAUUUCCCUUCUGGACAUUAAUAUAACAGAAGCCCAUGCUUGCCUGCACACCCCACCGCCUCCGCCCCACCAUUUUGUGCAUUUCUUUUUCCUUCUAAGUAUUGCCAGAGGCAUAGCACACUGUUUGCAUGGGUGUGGCUUUGCUCAGAGCAAGCCAGAAAGCUGAAGUGGCUUUCUGUAGGAAAAAAACUAGAAGCUACAUCUACAUAUCAAUUAAACUUAGUGUCACUAAAGAAAACAAAAGAAGUAAAAUAUCCACCUCAAAGACUGUAAAUAUAUCCUGGUGCUAACCUAACUCACUUACUGUCCUCAGUAGCCUUUGAUCCUCACUAUCUCACAUUGCCUUUUUAUGUAUUUCUCUCACUGUAUUUUUAUAUUUCAUCUGUCUUGUCUUUAUCAUGGCAUUUUGUAUUUUAUAUUUUAUACUUUUAAACCCUUAAGGAAUGUACUCCCCAUAGAAUGAAAUUACACCCUGGACCAUUGUUCAAAACUGCAUUGAAAUAGUACUUGUAAAGUGAUAAAAUCUGCUAUAUUGGGAAGUCCCUUGAAUGAAAGGGAGUAUGAAUGACAAACCAAGUAUCUCUGGCUGUUCAUCGACAAUAGCCUAGCCAGAGGAACUUACAAUUACAAAACUCUACAAGCCAUUUUAAGCUAAUAAAGCCAAGGAACUGAUUCCUGGAACUAAGCAUCCAGCCUAUUGACUAUUCUUGUAACCCAUGACAAUAAAGCAAUUAAGUCAAUAAGUCAAGGGUGGACUCCCGAAACUCCAGUACCAGCAAGCAGAGACCGCUGUGACUAACAGCUGCCACGUACUACUCAAAACUCACGUUGGACAGUGAUCUUCGGAUUGGGCAGCCAAGAUGAUGCUAAUCUAUCACACAAGUCUGCCAGAAAGGGAUAAAAGCCAGUGAAGCAUAACCCUAAGUGGUGCCCUAAAAUCCAGCACCUCACCUACCAACACAGAAGGACAAGCAGGAGACCCACUUCUGCAGAAGACAUCACCAUAAAGGGAGCUGGCCACUUUGAGCAGAAUAAAGGGCAGGUAGAUAUACUGACUCCAGUGCUAAGAAAAUCACUACAGCAGGGACUAUACAUUAUAUUACAUGGGUUUUAAUGCCAUCGGUAUGAGUGAGAGCAUGCGCGUGUGUAUGUGCUAAAGUGACCAGUAUCCCUCAUAACUCAGAGUGUACAUUUCUCAUUUUCUUGGUAACUUCACACCCUGUCCAAUAAAUUAGAAUUUAUGAUGA